AUGUAGCUCAGUGGUAGAGUGCAUGCUUACAUGGUAGAGUACAUGAGACCCUGGGUUCGAUCCCCAGUACAUA
rnacentral:tRNA from 1 species